rfam:Lupinus angustifolius cultivar Tanjil chromosome LG01, whole genome shotgun sequence.
AGAGGAAUAACAGUGCAAAUCUCCUUUGGCAGAGUGCAACACUCUUCUUGCAUGAGAGUUGUUUUUCUGCCAAAAGGAGAAUUGCCCUGCCAUUCUACA